UUUUGUUCAAUGAUAAUGAGCUAUAACGCAAUUUACUACAUGUAUCUUUUUUCACAUUUACAGCGCUGUCCGCCGAAUGAAACAUGUGCAACCACAGCCAAUUGUGUAGUGUCGAAGUAUUGUUUUCACAGAUGCUUCCCGUGUACUUGCGUUCAUGGCGAUUGCCUUAUAGACACCUCUCCUCCUUACAAACCGUGGAAGCACGAUGACCCAUCUAUUUUAUCCUGCGUAUGUCACCCUGGUUGGACAGGGGCAAACUGUGAUGAAGAUAUCGUGGACUGUCCAGAUGCUUGUCAAGGCCCAUCAUCCACUUGUGUUGACCUUCCACUUGGAAGUUUUACUUGCAACUGUUCUGAUCCUGGUUACGAGCUAGCUGAUAAUCAAACAACAUGCAUAGAUGUCGUUGAUUGCCCUGAUGCUUGCCAAGGCCCGUCAUCCACUUGUGUUGACUUUCCACUUGGGAGUUUUACUUGCAACUGUUCUGAUCCUGGUUACGAGCUAGCUGUAAAUGAAACAACAUGCAUAGAUAUUGAUGAAUGUUUACCCACGUCCCCAUGCUCAGAUCCAACGUCAAUGUGUGUGAACUCUGAAGGGUCUUUCUCAUGCACUUGUGAAUUGGGCUGGCAGGAGAUGACUAUAUGUGUUGAUAGAGUAGAUUGCCCAGAUGCUUGUCAAGGCCCGUCAUCCACUUGUGUUGACCUUCCACUUGGGAGUUUUACUUGCAGUUGUUCUGAUCCUGGUUAUAAGCUAGCAGAUAAUGGAACAACCUGCAUAGAUAUUGAUGAAUGUUUAUCCACGUAUCCAUGCACAGGUCCAACAGCAGGUUGUGUGAACUCUGAAGGGUCAUACACAUGCACUUGUGCCCCUGGCUGGCAGGUGAACUAUGACGAAUGUGUCGAUGUCGUAGAUUGCCCAGAUGCUUGUCAAGGCCCGUCAUCCACUUGUGUUGACCUUCCACCUGGGAGUUUUACUUGCAGUUGUUCUAAUCCGGGUUACGAGCUGGGUGAUAAUGAAACAACAUGUAUAGAUAUUGAUGAAUGUUUACCCACGUCCCCAUGCUCAGAUCCAACGUCAAUGUGUGUGAACUCUGAAGGGUCUUUCUCAUGCACUUGUGAAUUGGGCUGGCAGGAGAUGACUAUAUGUGUUGAUAUAGUAGAUUGCCCAGAUGCUUGUCAAGGCCCGUCAUCCACUUGUGUUGACCUUCCACUUGGGAGUUUUACUUGCAGUUGUUCUGAUCCUGGUUAUAAGCUAGCAGAUAAUGGAACAACCUGCAUAGAUAUUGAUGAAUGUUUAUCCACGUAUCCAUGCACAGGUCCAACAGCAGGUUGUGUGAACUCUGAAGGGUCAUACACAUGCACUUGUGCCCCUGGCUGGCAGGUGAACUAUGACGAAUGUGUCGAUGUCGUAGAUUGCCCAGAUGCUUGCCAAGGCCCGUCAUCCACUUGUGUUGACCUUCCACCUGGGAGUUUUACUUGCAAUUGUUCUAAUCCGGGUUACGAGCUGGGUGAUAAUGAAACAACAUGUAUAGAUAUUAAUGAAUGUUUACCAACGUCUCCAUGCACAGGUCCAACGGCAGGUUGUGUGAAUUCCGAAGGGUCAUAUACAUGCACUUGUGCUCCUGGCUGGCAGGUGAACAAUGACAAAUGUGUCGAUGAAGUGGAUUGCCCAGAUGCUUGUCAAGGCCCGUCAUCCACUUGUGUUGACCUUCCACCUGGGAGUUUUACUUGCAAUUGUUCUGAUUCCGGUUAUGAGCUGAAUGAUGAUGAAACAAAAUGCAUAGAUAUUAAUGAAUGUUUACCAACGUCUCCAUGCACAGGUCCAACGGCAGGUUGUGUGAACUUUGAUGGGUCUUACUCAUGCACUUGUGACUCCGGCUGGCAGGUGAACGGCAACGAAUGUGUCGAUUUCGUUGACUGCCCAAAUGCUUGUCAAGGCCCGUCAUCCUCUUGUGUUGACCUUCCACUUGGGAAGUUUUACUUGUAACUGUUCUGAUCCUGGUUUCGAGCUAGCUGAAACAAUAUGCAUAGAUGUCACUGGAUUGUCCAGAUGCUUGUCAAGGCCCGUCAUCAACUUGUGUUGACUUUCCACCUGGUAGCUUUACUUGCAGCUGUUCUUAUCCCGGUUAUGAGCUGGCUGAUAAUAAAACAACAUGUAUAGAUAUUGAUGAAUGUUCACCAAUGUCUCCAUGUACAGGUCCAACGGCAGGUUGUGUGAACUCUGAAGGAUCUUUCUCAUGCACUUGUGACUCCGGCUGGCAGGUGAACGGCAACGAAUGUGUCGAUGUCGUGGAUUGCCCAGACGCUUGUCAAGGCCCGUCAUUGACUUGUGUUGACCUUCCGCUUGGUAGCUAUACUUGCAGCUGUUCUGAUCCCGGUUAUGAGCUAGCUGAUAAUAAAACAACAUGUAUAGAUAUUGACGAAUGUUUACCGACGUCUCCAUGCACAGGUCCAAUGGCUAGGUUGUGUGAACUCUGAAGGGUCUUAUUCAUGCACUUGUUCACCCGGCUGGCAGGCGAAUAAUGACGAAUGUGUCGAUGAAGUGGAUUGCCCAGAUGCUUGUAAAGGCCCGUCAUCCAUUUGUGUUGACCUUCCAUUUGGGAGUUUUACUUGCAACUGUUCUGAUCCUGGUUAUAAGCUAGGAGAUGAUGGAACAACAUGCAUAGAUGUCGUGGAUUGCCCAGAU
rnacentral:misc_RNA from 1 species